UACGAAGGGUGCAAGCGUUACUCGGAAUUACUGGGCGUAAAGCGUGCGUAGGUGGUUUGUUAAGUCUGAUGUGAAAGCCCUGGGCUCAACCUGGGAAUUGCAUUGGAUACUGGCAGGCUAGAGUGCGGUAGAGGGUAGUGGAAUUCCCGGUGUAGCAGUGAAAUGCGCAGAUAUCGGGAAGAACACCCGUGGCGAAGGCGGCACUCUGGGACGGUACUGACGCUGAGACGCGAAAGCGUGGGGAGCGAACAGG
rnacentral:rRNA from 1 species